rnacentral:lncRNA from 1 species
AGAGAGAGAAAGGAAAAGAAGGAGAAAUGGGUUGGGCUCGGCCCAGCCGACCCAACACUCCUUUUAACCCAAAAUUCCAAAAUUCAACACCCCGAAAUAAUACCCCAAUAAAAUUACCUUUUACUAACAAAAAUUACUAUUUUUUACCGUCGUCAAAAAUUCUUCCUUAGAAUAAUUCCCUCAAAAUAUUAGUCCCUCAACACCCUCUGGAAACUAAUUAAAUUACACACUUAGUGACGAACACGGUAAAAACUCUUGAUAUCACUAUGCCAGUAAUAAAGAUAAAAAUUAAGAUUCGGGGCGUGACACUAACACUCACGUCACGCCAUAAUGAUAUUUUACCUCAUUAUGACGGACCAAGCACGUCUGGCUAGCUAGCAUUUAUAUACAUAAUAUACUCAUAAACAUCAAAAAUACAUAUCCACCGAAAAUUUCAUUUUUCGGGAACUCUCCAAAGGAGGAAAAUUGCCAAAUAUCCGAGAAAGAAAUAAAACUCAGCAGAAGAAAUAAAUGGUCAACAGAAUAAUUCAUCGCAUGCUUUUCAAUUAAAAUAAAGGUCCACUCACAAAUUAGGCCUAAGCCUGAUGUCGCUCCGAGGCUUCUUCUGCUCGGGCCUCCUCUCGUCCUGUUCCAAAUAUAAUAUUAAUUUCCCAAACAAAAAUCCAAAACUUACACAAAAUAGGCAUAAUUAAAUGUGAGCCUUAAUCACACUCAUCCUUGCCCAACUUCGUCAUUCUUAACUCAAUAGGGUCUAAGCUUCACCGAACAUACUGGCAGCUUUAAUUCAAUUUUUUACCGAUUAUACGACUUUAAUCCAACGGUCGGAUUCUACCUUAAUUAACCGCCAAAAUUACUAAGCUUUAAAAAUUCCCAAACCUAUCCAAAACUCCUCCAAAAAUUCUAAAAUUCACAUCAAUAACUCCCAUUAUUAUAACCAAUCAAAAACCAUGAAAAUCCCCUAAACAGCGGCGGCCGGAGGCCUACUCUGGCGACCUCCAAAGCCUACCAAAUUUUAACAGCAGCUUCCUUUCAACUCUCUCUACAACUUUCUUAACUAGCACAACACCCAAUUCCAAGCCUAACCAUGCCAAUCGAACGAAAACAUCCUAGAAAACCCUAGAGCUUCAACACUAAUAUCUCCUUACCUAGCUCAAGAGAGGGUGAGACCUUUGGAGGGGUUGCUGCACGGGAGGAGGGCUUUCUUCCAAGCCAAGUAGCUCCUGCUAUGGCGGCCGGAGGAGAGAUUUCCGGCGAGAAGACCACCGGGCUUCCAAGGAGGACUUCCUCCGUUCGGUGGCGUUGCAGCGUUGCUCACUAGUCCAGGACGAUGGCGGAGCGGUCGGCGGACUAUGCUGGACCGGUGCGGCGUCUCCUCUUGGCCGGACGGCGGUGAUGGAGCUCGGGGAGUCUCCAGCAGUGUGAUGAAGAAUGAAGAAGUGAGAAGAUCGGGAAGAAGAAGGACAGAAAGAGAGGAGAGAAAUGGUUUGGGCCUCCCCAAACCGGUCCAACACAAAUAUACCCACACCCAAUAUAAACCCAACUCCAAAAAUAACACCAAAAAAUAAUACCCCACUAAAAGUUACCUUUUAAUAGCCGAAAUUUACCAUUUUUUCCGUCAUCGCAAUUUCUCUUACAAAUAAUUCCUCCGAAAUAAUCGUCCCUCAUAACCCCUCUAGAGACAAAAUAAACUAUAAAUUCAUUGACAGAGACGGUAAAAUUCUUAUUAAAACCAAGCUAGUAAAUAAGGUGAAAAUUUACGGGUUGGGAUGUGACACAAAGCCUCGGCCUGGCCCGUUACAUGCCCAUCAAAGCCCGCCCGGCCCGGCCCGGCCCUAAAAAGCCCGCCAAAGCUCGGCCCAAAAAGCCCUUUCAAUAGUUUUAUUAAUAUUUUUUAUGGAGUUAUUAGUUAAAUAUGUGAACUAAUUAAUGCAUUAAGUCAUUUAUUUUUAUUUUUAUUACAUUUAGUUCAAUCAUUAACAAAUCUUAACUUUUGUAUAGUUUUUGUUUUAUUUUGAUAAAAUUCUAUUAGAUAUAUGUAUAUAAUAGGCCUAGCCCGGCUCGGCCCUAAUAAGCCAGUAAGGCCUGGGCCCAUGGGGUUUGAUUUUUUUAAAUAACCCGGCCCAGCCUGGUUCGAGCCAAUAGGGCUUGGGUAGGGCAAGGCCGAGUCAGGCUUUUUGACGAUCCCUACAACAGCUUUUAGAAGUUGUUGUCAUUGAAAACACUAAAAAUUAAUACAUUUUGUCUUGACAACACUUUUAAAACUAAUAUUUACCAAACACUAAGUUAUUUUAAUUCAUAACUGAUUAUUUUCAAAGUACAACAACAUCAGGUUUUUUUAAAGUCACAGCAAUACCAAACUAGCCCUAAAAGUAUGUAAGCUAAUUCAAAUUUGAGAUAUUUAGUCCAACUGAUC